AGUGGAGACAAAAACUGAACAUGCCUGGGGUGCAGGAGAGAACAAGAAAAAUUAUUUAGUGAGGCACACCCAGCACAAAGAGAGGUGCUGCAUCCUGGAGCACUGGCACAAGCAUUUGCGCACCAGAACUGCCAACAUCUGUCUCUGGAUUUAACAGGCCAGGACCAAGCCACAGACUUCAUUGUGUUAACACACUCAACAGACAACUGCAGUGAAAUAAAGGAAGAAUGGAAGACUAUGGACUGACUCUCUUAUAUAAGGAACAUUAUCAAUAAUAUUUGCACUGAGGCAAAACUAGAUAACAGGAGGAUGAAUGUCAGCCAAACAUUAAAGUCAUAAAGAUGGGGAAAAUUACAUCUUGAAUUCAUCAGUCUGCUAUUACAUCAGUCUUUGGCCACUAACAAACAACCAAUUCAUCUGGAAAUGGCAGAUUUUCACUUUUGGUGUAUGCAUGCCUGGACAGAGAGGCAGAACGUGAUAUCAUUUUGUUUUAGAGAGUGCUUUGUUUAGGUUCUUUUUAAAGCAGAAGCACUGUCUACUGCAAUCCUAAGGAAUGAAGCCUGUUGUGAAAAAAAAACUGCUCUGCACCUCUUAAAAUACAGCCCACCAGAUACUUAUCCUAAAAAUAAGUUUUGGCAGAACAGAGGUGAAAAGAUUAAUAAACUCUUUAUCUUGUCCAGAGCCUAAAUUGGUAUUGCUGCAUUUCAGGCAGUAAAUCGUGUCAGUUAUACUCUCUGCUCCAGUCUGUUCCUAUGAUAGACUGCAGCAGAGUGGAUAAAAUAAUAAUGAUUAAUGGUCACCACUGCUCUGCUCUUCCUUUACCUGCCUGGAAAUAUAAUUCUUUAAAAAUAGGUAAAUAAGCUCCCAAGCUAUGCUUCUCCAUUGCAGUAACCCUUUACCUGCUUUACAACACGGCUUAGGUGGCCCCACAAGGGACAAGGACCACAUUGUCCCAGGUACUGUGCAAGCAAACCAGGAAAGACAAUCCCUGCCUCAAAGCAUCUUCGAGUAAGCAAAAGAGAAUCUGAGUGACAAAAUCAAGUUGGAACAGACUCCUGCACGUAGGCCAAAUACAAGGAAGACUUCACUGGGUCAAAAGGUCCUCAGCAAACUUUCUGCCCUAGGAUAAGUUUCUCUCUAUUAGCAUAGCUAACCUAAGAUAAAUAUUGAAUAAUAGAUGCUGUCGUGGAUAAAAUAUGCUCAUAAAAUUAUAUUAGAUAGAGCAGCCUCUUAUUUUGUGUAAUGAAAACCACUUGACAAAGUUAAAAAUACAAAUCUAAACGCACUCAAUUUUAAUACUAAAGUAUCCUGUCUUUCCAUUAUAGACACAACCUGUGUUGCACAACCAAAGCAGAGACAGAAGAAUGAUCUCACAUUUACUGGGAGCACUCCACAAUUCUCACUGUUAGAUUCAAAAAUACAUUAUUGCUUUGAACUUGGCUCUUCUGUAGAUGACAGGAACUGUCAUUUAAUCCUUCAGUGAACCUCUCCUGAGGUCAUUAAGUGUCGGUGAGAGAGGACCAGUCAAGGGAGUCAGUACUGGCAAGGACUGGAAAUGGGCAAGUGCUUCCUUCUUCCACAUUUCAUGUCUUCAGCCCGUGAGGGGGUUGGUUUGUUUAAUUUAAGAUAGCCUGCCUUUAGAGACAUAGAUUAACCUUUGGUAUCUCCAGUGCAACCAGGACCCAGGAUGGAAGCACACAGUUUACUAUAGCUACUCAUGUAAUCUCAAUGCAAUUUCCUCAAAACUAAAAUAUUAAAAAGCUGUGAGAGGGUUGUUUUUUAAAAAGAAAAUAACAUAGUCCACAACUGCAGUGAAGGGCACUUGAAUUUUUUUUUUUUUUUUUUUGACCUUUUAAUAAAAAUACUCAUUUCCGCAACUACAGAGACCAGAAAAAAAUUAUCUUCAAAAAUCACAGAUUUGACUGCAGAAAUAAGUGGGGAAACAGGUUCCUGUCAUUUGUGAAGUCCCAAAAUCUUGACAGAAAGGUGGAAAACUCAGUUAGAAUGAAACAAGAGGUCAAGUAUUCAGAAUGCAAAUAAUCCACCCAGACCUAGGAGUUUAUAUCCAGAGUAACCACCUUGAGCUAUCUGCCAAAGUUCACAACAGAAGGCAUCCAUUUAGAAUUGAGCAGGGCAGCUCUAAAACAUGCGAGAACAACAAUAUUUUAGUACCAAAAACUGAAUUUUCUUUAGUAAUGCACAUCUUCCCAUGAAUAAUAAAAGAGUAUUCUCAAUGUUUUAUGAGGUAUAGCUUAGUCUUGAAGACUAUCUGCAGGACUUGCUUAUGCUGAUACUUUGCAUUAAAGAGAUCAGUAAUACUCAGCUAACUAAUAAAGGACAAACACAUGCUACAAUGACAGCCUCAGAAAGCAAAAAUCAAAAAGGUCAUUCUAAGAAAUGGAUUUGGAGCAACAAAAUGCUUUUAUUUCUUCACAUCACUGCAGUAUCCAGGAGCCCUGAUGAGCCUAGGCCCCACUGUGGUAGAUGCUACUGUACAGCCUAUUUAUGAACCAGACAUGCUUCUCAAUGAGAAAAAGAAAGUACAUGCUAAUAAUGUUGUUACAGCAUCAGUGCAGCAUUAUCUCAGACAAUGAGAAGUGUGGAAGUUUUAUACGCUUUAUUGUUAUUAAAAGUAGCACUGUUACCUUGGCAACUGCUGAAUCACUUGGGAGUUUGUUAAAGAAACCCAAAUGUUACUUAUACUUGCACAUUUGCAAUCAAUUUAGGGAAAACAAUUGGGGGGUUUUUUUGGUGUACUUUUUUUAAACAAAUCGCACAUU